CACGUAGGGUGCGAGCGUUGUCCGGAAUUAUUGGGCGUAAAGAGCUCGUAGGCGGUGUGUCGCGUCGGCCGUGAAAACCUGCAGCUUAACUGUGGGCGUGCGGUCGAUACGGGCAUCACUGGAGUUCGGCAGGGGAGACUGGAAUUCCUGGUGUAGCGGUGAAAUGCGCAGAUAUCAGGAGGAACACCGGUGGCGAAGGCGGGGUCUCUGGGCCGAUACUGACGCUGAGGAGCGAAAGCAUGGGUAGCGAACAGG
rnacentral:rRNA from 1 species